AUGGGCUGUAUCCAAAGCAUCACCUGCAAGGCGCGGAUCCGGCGCGAGAAUAUCGUGGUGUACGAUGUGUGUGCCACCAUCGACCAGUGCCCCACGCGCAUCGAGGAGACCUCGCCCAUCGUCCUGCGCUACAAGACCCCCUACUUCAAAGCCUCGGCCCGCGUGGUCAUGCCCCCCAUCCCCCGCCACGAGACCUGGGUGGUGGGCUGGAUCCAGGCGUGCAACCAGAUGGAGUUCUUCAACACCUACAGCGACCUGGGCAUGUCAAGCUGGGAACUGCCUGACUUGAGGGAAGGGAGAGUCAAAGCCAUCAGUGACUCGGAUGGGGUGAGCUACCCAUGGUACGGAAACACCACAGAAACUGUGACCCUGGUUGGCCCCACCAACAAGAUCUCCAGGUUCUCCGUCAGCAUGAAUGACAACUUCUACCCCAGUGUGACGUGGGCAGUGCCAGUGAGUGACAGCAAUGUGCCACUGCUCACGAGGAUCAAGAGGGACCAAAGUUUCACGACGUGGCUGGUGGCCAUGAACACCACCACGAAGGAGAAGAUCAUCCUGCAGACCAUCAAAUGGAGGAUGAGGGUGGACAUUGAGGUAGACCCUCUUCAGCUCCUGGGACAGCGGGCCCGGCUGGUGGGCAGGACUCAGCAGGAGCAGCCCCGGAUCCUGAGCCGGAUGGAACCCAUACCCCCCAAUGCACUAGUGAAGCCCAAUGCCAACGAUGCCCAGGUCCUCAUGUGGAGGCCCAAGCGAGGGCCGCCCCUCGUCGUGAUCCCACCCAAGUAGAAGCAGACUGUCCUGUGUGUGGACCACACUCUGCUGAGACACGCAGGGAGCAAGCUGCCCGGGGUGGCAGAAGCCAAACUGAGUUUCUGAGCCAAAGCAGACCUCUUGGUUUGUCAGCCUUUGCAGCCGCCCGUGAUGAGUAGGGCAGCUUCUUGGGUGGUAGAACCACAAUCCUUAGGAAACCCCCCUUCCUCUUAGGAGUAAAAGAAAUCACCGAGUGGACAGACUUGCUGAAAUUCCCACGCAAGUAGCCAUAUUUGGGAGCUGACCAGGAUGAUUCUUUUAUCUGAACUAUUGACCAUUUCUUUCCUGUGAGACGCAGGGGAUGGAAAUGAAAUUAAACAGUGCCUGUGGCAAAUGCUGCUUCCCAACCAGUUCGAAGUGGGAGUGAAACAUCCACACCAGGUGUUCACAAGACAGCCUCCCUGUCGGACUGGAGGGUGCUGGGAGGAAGGGCUGAAUGCAGAUUGGGUGGGGAAAGAAAUAAUGGGUGGUAAGGAAAGAAGACACUGUUACCGAUUAAUGCCUGUGCAUUUCUCAGUUGACAUCAGAUCGUCCAUUCGUUCCUUAGGCUGAGAGAAACAACGCUCAGAAAACUGCAGAGACCUUUGCAUUUGCUCUGUUCUGAGGCAGCCUCCUGGGCGCUGUCCAAGGUUUCCUAGUAGAACAAGGCAAGCCUAGCCAGCAGAACCACAUGGCAGAGACUGAUGAGGAGGAAACGAGCGAUGGUUCCAGACGCUCAAGCCUUGGACAGCUGCUUCCCCACUAAAACGAGUGCCAUCCUGCCUGUCCCCUCACCGUCCUCCCAGCCCAUGGCCAGUACCUCCUUCCCACCCACCAUGUGCCAUGCACUCGCCAUGCACUGGCUGGUUCUCGUGGGAGGCUGCUGUUGAAGUGGGAGUUGUGCCUGUACCUUGUUGUGUGUGGGAAAAGUGGGUCUCAAGUCCAUGCCCAACCCUCCGAGGAUGAAGAGCUGGUCAACCCGGACUUCAAACAUCUGUCAUGACCCAGCCUAGGUUCCCAAACCCUGCCUUCCCUCCCUACGCUCUUGGAUGGGAAACAAAGAGAAUAUGUAUUUCCUCUCUUCUUCCUUUCUCCAUGUGGGUGGCCAGUGUUAAUACCCUCUCACAAGUCCCCAACGGCCCUGAUGCUUGGGGAACCAGGUUCAAAGCACUCCGGUUCCUCCUGCCAUGGCCAGCCUGUGUCUUCAAGUGACUGAGGGUCUACGGACAUCACCAGGAUCAACACCAUGAAGGGAGAACCCCCCACCUCCUGAUGAGAGGGCAAAAACACAGUGCACAUUGUCUUAUUUCCCUGUUUAUUUGUUGUCUUGCUGAGUGAUUAAUUUAUUAAGUUUGUGUUUAUUAUAUAGCAGAAAAUCACCUCUAUCUUUGAACCAUCCAGCCCCAGAAGUUGUCUUCUGGUCCCACAGAGCACAGUGAGUUAUUUCUCUCUGAAGCCACAGAAACAAGGUGGUGGGGUGGGGAGGACCCUGUCCCACACCUUCACCCUGAGAUGGGAUCAGAUAUCACAGCUAGCGAGGUUGCGAAGGAGCCCCAGUCAGCAGAGUCCGCAUCCAGCCUCACAUCAGGCCUCCCCUUCUCUCCCUAAACGUGGGGUUGACUGCCUGCUAAAGGGCCACCAUCUCAGAGCUAGCGGCCUCAUUCUGCUCUGGUACAUUAUCCGGCACAGACUCAUCUGAGCAGCUUAAAGACGCUCCCUGCUCAGUUCCCAUCACAGAUCAAAUACACAGAAUCUCUGGUGGUCGAGCUGCGGCCUCGGUGUUCUUUGAAAAAUUACCCAAAUUCUAUGGUGAGGUGAACGUUGAGAAGCACUUCUAGUGCCUUUUCUGCCUUGCCUCUCCCCUCUGCCCAGAGCCCUUCAUCCUUUGGUUCCUUAGCUUUCUGGGGCACCAAGAAUGGGAAAAGCUAUUAAGGAAUGCCUGUGUCCUCUCCUCAUGGAACCACUAGCCUGAGCAGAUCCUUGGAAAUUAGCAAGUCCUUGGACUUGUACCUGGUGGCCGAGACCGGCACUCGCCUGGGCAUUGCUCUUCCAUUUCUAGCUUAUCUAGAAGCAGAAAUCUACCACCUGCUAGAUUCUCUCUCCAUCUUGACCUCCACCUGUCUCCCAAAUUCCCAGUCCCAAUCCUGAAGGGCCCACGUCUAGCCCUUCUGAGCCAAUCCUUGGACAUUUCCACAAAGACUGAGUGAAGGUGUACAUGGUAUCAGAGGAAGGAGUCACUUUGCCCAAAAGUCAACCUUUUCCCCGGCAGCCCAGCAACAACCACUAUGUGUCUAAAUCUUGCAUGUCUGAGAACCGACCUGGCUCCCCUUCACACUGACAGGAUCUCCACUGCUGGGUGAGAUUCUGUGCAUGUGUGUAUGUGUGUGUGUGUGCAUCUGUGUGUGCACUGACUAUACACAAACCAUCUAGAUCAAUGGAAAUACCAUGUUUCACUCCACGUGUAAUUAUACUGUCCAUCUCAACAGUUGAGAACAUUCAUUGUCCUUCACUCAGUGUAGAGUCACCGUACCGGGGUCAUGAUGGGCCCAAAUGAAUUCCCGAUUAAAGACCUCUGGCCACCCUGUGAGAUAGGCAGCCGGCUGCUAACCUCGAGGUUGACAGUUCAAAGCCACCUGUGGGAGAAAGAUGCGCCCACCUGCUCUGGUAAUGAUUUACAGCCUCAGGAACCCUGCACAGGUGCAAAGGGACUCUCUGGCUGUGGGUUUGGCCUUGGGUUAGUGGCUAUUGGGUUUGAACUGCUAACCUUUCUGUUACCGGUUGAACUGUUUAGCCACUGCACCACCAGGGCUCCUUCAGAAUACCAUCAUAUCUACAGCUUUGUGCACAUGCACACACACACACACACACACACACAGAGCCUAGGGAAAUCUGUGUCCCCAACCCUGAGUAACUCCCCUGCUCCUCGGCUGCUGUCCUUUCCCCACCAACAGCCCAUCCCUCCAAACUUGCUUUCCCUAGUAGUCAACAUGUCCCUGCCCUGGGUCCCAUCACUCAGGGUCCUGCUCUCUGAUAGGUGGCCCUCAGUGGGUGCUAAAGAGCUGAGUGCUUCUCCUGUCCGGUGACAUUUAUGUUUCCACAGGGGCUACAGAGAUUGCCUUAAUCUGAAGGAGUGAUGAAUGGUGGGGGUUUUCAGGCACAGUCAUGGACCAGUGAGAAUUUCAUAUAUAUUUUUUAAUCUCUGUAGAGACUCCCGAAUCAUGCCUCUCUCUAAGGUCAGCCUUCACAAGUGCAUGAGCACAAGCAAGCACACGUAACCCAGAUAGACGUGUGAACAUUUUGAGACACCUUAAGUCGAUUGGCCCUUGGUCUCUAAAGAAGAAAAGAGAGAGAACGAGGAAUCAGCUCCAUAAAGUAAACUGGAGUCGGAUUCGACUGGAUGUCGAUGAGUUGCUUGGGAAACACAGCCUAACUUUCCCUAGCCACCAGCCACCUGGCCUGCCAGACCCUCUUCCAUUUGCCUCCUGCUCCUUUUCUUCUGCUCCCACCAGCUCGGGGCCCUUACUUGUAUGUAUCUUCUCUGCCCACCGAGUGUGUUUUCCCGCCUAUGCUGUUUCCCUCUUGGAAUUGUGCUGUUUUCGGUGUCGUCCAGGACAGAAGAGCAGGUUGCGCGCAUGAGCAUGUGUGUAUCGCUUGGAAGAAAGAGAAACCAGGUAUUCUGCUAUUUGGAGAAAACCCAUUGAAGGAAGCUGGCUCUGCAGAGUGCCUUAAAAAUGACUUUAAUUAGGAAAUUCCGAGUCGUCAUUGGAUGUUACAUAAACUCAAACAGAUGUUGCAUUUCACUUCUCUGGGAUUAAAAAGAAAG